UUGCGCUAAGCGGGGAGCUAGCGGUGUCCUGUUACCCGAAAUCCGCUUAAUGCGGGGCUGAAUUCCCUUUUGAGGGCCUGCACUUCCAUCUGCCAAGGGCUGUACAAGGCCGGGUACCACGCAACAGGCGGUUACGAACCCCGUCAGAUCCGGGAGGAAGCAGCGGUAAGUAAUUCAGCCUGUGUCGUGGACUCACUUCGGCCUAAUUAUUACAGACCGAGGUAUACUGGAAAGGGUUCGAUCAUGGGUGCGCAA
rnacentral:SRP_RNA from 1 species